AAAAAACCUUCUUUAUUUCUUUCUCCGACGGAAAUCAAGCCGUGAAGCUUAUGUCACCAUGAUUUCCAUUCUCGCUCAGGAGCGACUGCUUGGUGCUGCAUUGGGGAGCGUGUUCGCCGGGGUUCUUGUUUUUGAGCAACGGAAAAGCUUAUACCGGUCCAUUUCCGAAAACUAUCCAUCAGCUAUCCAAUCUCCGAUGAGUAAACCUGUACUGGCAAAGAAAUAUGGCCCAGAGUUUUCGCACCUAUGGAAUAGAGCUGUAGACCAGACAUUUGGACAUGUGAUUCAGGCUCUCAGUUCACGGGGAUGGUGAU
rnacentral:misc_RNA from 1 species